GCCCCGGUAGCUCAACUGGAUAGAGCGUGUGGCUUCGAACCACAAGGCUAGGAGUUCGAGUCUUCUCCGGGGCA
rnacentral:tRNA from 7 species